UGGUCUAGCGGUUAGAACGCUGGUCUUGUAAUCCUGGGGUCUCGGGUUCGAUUCCCGG
rfam:Zootermopsis nevadensis contig21634, whole genome shotgun sequence.